AUGGGGGGACUGGGCCAGGACAGGGCGGAGAAUUGGGGGGCAGGGAACCUUGAGUGGGGGCAGUCUGUUGCCUUCUCUCACCUCCCCAAAGUCCCCCUGCUAUGGGGUGGGGAAGAAGGACCGGGUCUGCAGACCCUGGCGCUAGCCCUCGGAAGCCCUCUUGCAGAGUUAGGGAUGGCCUGGCCAGAAGGUGGCUGGGAAGGCACCAGGGAGAAGAGAGCCCCCGCCUCAGCUGAGGGAGGGAGAACAGCAAGAGAAAGAAAGAGAGAGGCAAGCGAAAUUCCUGAAUGGAUAGACAGAUGCUACGUCAUCGGAGCUGCAUCCUCCACUCCACAAGAGGCUAGGAGCCGGGAGAGAGAGGCAGUCCAGCAGCAGGGGCCACCGAGCAGUCUCUCUUCCUCCCAGAAGCCAGGAGCUGGGCAUCCAGGAAGAAGCAGCCUCCUUUGUUUCUGGUGUCAUCGUAGGUGGCCACCUUUGGCUUUUGGGGAAAUUCCAUGA
rnacentral:lncRNA from 1 species